GUAUAAAUUUAUAGGCACAAAAUGCCCAUCUGUUACAUUCUAAAACAUACAUAGGGGUAUAUGAAGAAACAUAGGCCUGGAAAUGUAAGGAGAGACAUAAAAAGUCAAUUCCUCAAACCUGAAAUGCAAGUGCAUUCAGAAAGAUUAUCCAGAUCUACAAGAGGUGCACAGGUGGAGAUAUAAAGAUGACAAGUGUGCACAUGCUCCCUAGAGAGCCAGCAACAACCCAUCAGGUUUAUUUCAAUAAUGAUCCUUCCGCAGGUUCACCUACGGAAA
rnacentral:misc_RNA from 1 species